rnacentral:rRNA from 1 species
AUUGAACGCUGGCGGCAGGCCUAACACAUGCAAGUCGAACGAGUGGCGGACGGGUGCGUACUGACUGGGAAACUGCCUGAUGGAGGGGGAUAACUACUGGAAACGGUAGCUAAUACCGCAUACCAUCGGAUGUUCCCAGAUGGGAUUAGCGAGUAGGUGGGGUCACGGCUCACCUAGGCGACGAUACCUAGCUGGUCUGAUAGGAUGAGCAGCCACACUGGAACUGAGCCACGGUCCAGACGCCUACGGGAGGCAGCAGUGGGGAAUAUUGCACAAUGGGAGCAAGCCUGAUGCAGCCAUGCCGCGUGUAUGAAGAAGGCCUUCGGGUUGUAAAGUACGUUCAGCGGGGAGGCGUUACCCGCAGAAGAAGCACCGGCUAACUCCGGGCCAGCAGCCGCGGGAAUUC